rnacentral:rRNA from 1 species
CGGUGCCGCAGCUAACGCAUUAAGUAUUCCGCCUGGGGAGUACGCACGCAAGUGUGAAACUCAAAGGAAUUGACGGGGACCCGCACAAGCAGCGGAGCAUGUGGUUUAAUUCGAAGCAACGCGAAGAACCUUACCAAAUCUUGACAUCCAAUUGACCGUCUUUUAAUCGAGGCUUUCCCUUCGGGGACAGUUGAGACAGGUGGUGCAUGGUUGUCGUCAGCUCGUGUCGUGAGAUGUUGGGUUAAGUCCCGCAACGAGCGCAACCCUUGUCUUUAGUUGCCAUCAGGUAAUGCUGGGCCCUCUAGAGAGACUGCCGGUGAUAAACCGGAGGAAGGUGGGGAUGACGUCAAAUCAUCAUGCCCCUUAUGAUUUGGGCUACACACGUGCUACAAUGGUCGGUACAACGGGCAGCGAAAGAGCGAUCUGGAGCAAAUCCUAAUAAGCCGAUCUCAGUUCGGAUUGUAGGCUGAAACUCGCCUGCAUGAAGUUGGAGUUGCUAGUAAUCGCGAAUCAGCAUGUCGCGGUGAAUGCGUUCCCGGGUCUUGUACACACCGCCCGUCACACCAUGGAAGCUGGGGGCACCCGAAGCCGAUGAUCUAACCCUUAUGGGAGGAAGUCGUCGAAGGUGAAAUCAGUGACUAGGGUGAAGUCGUAACAAGGUAGCCGUAGCGGAAGCUGCGGCUG